GUGAACGCUGGCGGUAGGCCUAACACAUGCAAGUCGCACGGCAGCACAGUAAGAGCUUGCUCUUACGGGUGGCGAGUGGCGGACGGGUGAGGAAUACGUCGGAAUCUACUUUUUCGUGGGGGAUAACGUAGGGAAACUUACGCUAAUACCGCAUACGACCUACGGGUGAAAGCAGGGGAUCUUCGGACCUUGCGCGAUUGAAUGAGCCGAUGUCGGAUUAGCUAGUUGGCGGGGUAAAGGCCCACCAAGGCGACGAUCCGUAGCUGGUCUGAGAGGGUGAUCAGCCACACUGGAACUGAGACACGGUCCAGACUCCUACGGGAGGCAGCAGUGGGGAAUAUUGGACAAUGGGCGCAAGCCUGAUCCAGCCAUACCGCGUGGGUGAAGAAGGCCUUCGGGUUGUAAAGCCCUUUUGUUGGGAAAGAAAAGCAGCAGGUUAAUACCCCGCUGUUCUGACGGUACCCAAAGAAUAAGCACCGGCUAACUUCGUG
rnacentral:rRNA from 1 species